GCACUGGUGCCUCAGUGGCAAAAUGCUCGCCUUUUAUGCAGGAGACCCAGGUUAGAUUCCUGGCCAAUGCG
rnacentral:tRNA from 1 species